rnacentral:rRNA from 1 species
GUAUAGCAAUUGCUAUUUGCACUAAAGUUUUUAGUGUAAAAUCGACUUUGUCGAAUAAAAUUCUGGGUAGAAUUAUGAUAAUGACAUUAUCUACUUAUAAGUCUUGACCAAAUUACGUGCCAGCAGUCGCGGUAAUACGUAAAAGACAAGUGUUAUUCAUCUUUAAUAGGUUUAAAGGGUACUUAGACGGUAAAUAAAGCCUCUAAAAGGGACUAGUUUGCUAGAGUUUUAUAUGAGGGAGUUUUAAAGUACUACUGGUGUAGAGAUGAAAUUCAGUUAUACCUUACAUGGCACAGGUUAAGGCGAAAGCAUCUUCUUAUGUAAAAACUGACGUUGAAGGACGAAGGCUUUGUGUCUCGAACAGGAUUAGAUACCCUAGUAGUCUAAGCAGAAAAUCAUGAAUGUCAUAGAUUAGAUUUAAUUUGAUCUGUAAAUGAAAGUGUAAGCAUUCCACCUCAAGAGUAAUUUGGCAACAUUGGAACUGAAAUCAUUAGACCGUUUCUGAAACCAGUAGUGAAGUAUGUUGUUUAAUUUGAUAAUCCGCAAAAAACCUUACCACAAUUUGAAUAGAUAUAAUUUAUCAUACAAGCGUUGCACGGCUGUCUUCAGUUAAUGUCGUGAGACUUUGGUUAGUUCCAUUAAAUUAACGUAAACCCUUAUUUUAUUUUUAUAUAAAAUAGUUCACCGCUAUAUUGGAUGUGAUAAUAGGGAUCAAGACAAGUCAUCAUGACCUAAAUAUUGUGGGCUAUA